AGGGUUCGAUUAUGGCUCAGGACGAACGCUGGCGGUGCGCCUUAUGCAUGCAAGUCGAGCGAAGCUUUUCAGUAGUUUACUACAGAAAAUGACUGAGCGGCGAACGGGUGAGUAACGCGUGAGCAAUCUACCUUAGUUACAGGGAUAGCCCGAGGAAACUCGGAUUAAUACCUGAUAUUCUUUACAUUUCGCAUGAAAUCAAAAGGAAAGGUCAGCCGAACUAAGAUGAGCUCGCGUUCUAUCAGCUAGUUGGUGAGGUAAAAGCUUACCAAGGCAACGACGGAUAGCUGGUCUGAGAGGACGAUCAGCCACACUGGGACUGAGACACGGCCCAGACUCCUACGGGAGGCUGCAGCAGGGAAUAUUGCGCAAUGAGCGAAAGCUUGACGCAGCGACACCGCGUGUGGGAUGACGGAUCUAGGUUUGUAAACCACUUUCAGGAGGGAAGAAAAUGACGGUACCUCCACAAGAAGCCCCGGCCAACUACGUGCCAGCCGCCGCGGUAAUAC
rnacentral:rRNA from 1 species